rnacentral:tRNA from 1 species
GCCUGUGUGGCCGAGCGGUUCUAGGCGCUACAGCCUGGAACGCUGAGGUCGCAGGUUCGAAUCCUGCCUCGGGCA